GGGCUCCGCCUUCUGCGCUCCUAAGUUCCGCCCUCAUUCUGUUGCUCUACACUGGGACUCCAAAUCCCGCCCUCAUCCUAACUGCCCAAUAUCUGUACUCCGCUUGCUAAUCUUCUAAGCCCCGCCCUCAGCCUAAUUAUUACAAACCUGGGCUCCGCCUUCAUCGUUUCUAAGAUCCGCCCUCAUUUCUGUUGCUUCUCUCCGGGGCUCCGCCUCUCGCCAGCCCAGCCCCGCCUUCAGUCUAUUUCUCCACACCCAGGUUCUGCCUUCUGUGCCACUAAGCUCCGCCUUCAGCCUAAUGGCUUCAUACCGAGGUCCUGCCUCCCAGGUACAGGAGCUCCUCUCCAGGCGCUCACCAGUCCUUCCCACAGUCUGGCUGUUGCCUGCGAUCCGCUGUGUAUUUGCACAGGGUGGGGGUGGGGAGCCGGUGGCUCCGGGCAACGGUGAUAAACCCGGCACAGAAGCAGAGUCGCCUUUCGGAGCUUCCACUUGUAACACGGCCCCUCACACAUGUAGUCCUUUGGUGCAGGGGAGAGGAACAUAGGUCGGCCCUGGAGAAGUUGUAGGCUCAGGUAGACCGGUGAGGGAGUGUCCCAUCAGCCUCAGGAAGGCACUCAGAGAUGCACGGAGCAGAACCUCUUUCCCAGACGUUAGAGACGCCCCUCCCCCUCCAGGGACCGUUACCUGUCGCCUCCUGAAGGAUUGAUCUGGGAUUUUCUCCAAAGUGGCCUGAGGCACCAUUUGUCUACAGCACGUUUUCUUCUGGCCUCAGAAGCAUGUCUGUGGACUUGCUGUAGACUCCACACCCUUCAGUAUGGCAACACAACUACUUAAUCCUUAGAGGAUGUGCAGCCAAUCAAGGUGACUAGAGGCCUGCCAGAAGAGUUUACUAAAAGAUUUCAUUUCUUGGGUAUUCAGAAACCCUUGGAACCUUGAAACCCUUGGACAGACGUUACAGACAUGAGCUGCUGUGUGGGUGCUGGGAAAUGAACUCAGGUCUUCUGGAAGAACAGCCUGGCUUCCUGACUCAUCAUUCUAGCCCCUGGAUUACUUUUCAAGACAUUUCUCAUCUGUGCCUUAAAGAAUACUAGAAUUGUAUCUUAUAAGUAUACCUUAAAGGGCAUUGUUUCCUGGAAGAAAGGUUUAUUGCAUACCAAAAUCAAUAGUCUAAAAGUAAUUAAAAUGUUUAUAAUGUAUGCAAAAGAGGCAAAUGUGUAUGAAAGUUUUCAUAUGCUUCGUCAUAGUAUUCAAGAAAUUCUGGAGAAUUUCAGAUUUUCAAGAUUGCGGACAAGUAAUCUUUUCGGUUUUCUAAUUUUUGUUUUCUUUCAGGUUUUUGGAAGGUUUACUUUCUAUUACUGCCGGGUCAGGGAGGGGGGGUCUUAAUAUAUUGCCUGUACCUGAACUCUAAGGCACAAGUAAUUCUUUUGCCUCAAGAAUCCCAAAUGAUGAAAUUACAGGGUUGUGAGUUCAUACCUUCUACAUAUACUUUGGUAAGACUUUGGAUUUAGAGUUUGGCAGAGACAUGGGAUAAGAUAUUUCUAUGAACUUAGAAAUAUGGAGAGAUGGCUCAGCGGUUAAGAGCACUGACUGCUCUUCCAGAGGUCCUGAGUUCAAUUCCCAGCAACCACAUGGUGGCUCACAACCUCCUCUCAUGAGAUGUGAUGCCCUCUUCUGGUGUCUGAGACAGGGACAGUGUACUCACUUAAAAUAUAUCUUUAAAAAAAGAAAGAAAGAAAGAAAGAAAGAAAGAAAGAAAGAAAGAAAGAAAGAAAGAAAGAAAGAAAGAAAAGAAGGAAGGAAGGAAGAAAGAAAGAAAGAAAGAAAGAAAGAAAGAAAGAAAGAAAGAGGGAAAGAAAUCUGGAGAGCAUAGUGAUGUGGAUUGCAUUAUGUUCCAUUAAAACCUAUAUGCUAUGGUAUAGUGGCACAUAUUGUAAUCCCAGCAUUUGGGAGGUAGAGUUAGGAAAAUUAUAAACUCAAGGCCAUUCUUGGUUAUAUAUAGUGAGUUUGAGGCCAAGCUGGGCUACAUAAAACCUUGUUUCAAACAAAAGUAGAUAAGCAAAGAAUUUUUUAUAUUUCCCAGUGAGGCCAUAUAGUUGCUAUGGUUGCCCUGACCACAUAAUAUAGACAUUGUCAAGAAAUGGACCAGGUGCAUGGUGUCUGUCUGUCCUCUAAGAACUCAGGAGGCCAGGGCAAGAGGCAGAAAGCUCUCAGGUUGGGAAAUGGCCUGGGUUACAAACUGGGACUGUGUGAGAAAGCAAGUGAGAAGACACUGCAGGGGGAGGCGGCUCCGUGGUUAAGAGCACUUGCUGUGCCAGGUAGCACAGACUUUAAUCCCAGGAUGCAGGACACAGAGUCACGCUGAUCUCUGUGAGUUCAAGGCCAGUUCCUAGAGGGACUCUUAACCACCCCCAAACAACAACAGCAACAGCAGCAGCAACAACAGCAACCAUGACAACAACAAGAAGCAGCUCUUGUUGCUUUUGUAGAAGACCUAGUUUUGGUUUCUGUCAUGCCCACCUCAGCUGGCAAGGAAGACGAAACAGGGUCGGAUUCUUCUCAAUAGCCUUUAUUGCAGGACCACCUCUUUGCUGAUACAGGACAACCAGCGGCAAAGGCGCUCGCCUUAUAUACACAACAGGCUGUGGUCGUAUGCUAAUUAUCUUUCAGGGAUUGGCGGAGUACGAAUCACCCAACUAUCACCCCAGCUACUUGUCCUCCAGAGAUUGGCGCAGCAUAAACCACCCCAUUAGCAUAGUACCGCCCCGGCCAGACUGACACCAGGGGCAAAACCCGCGCAUGCACAGUACUGUUGUUCACCACAGGAGGGCGCCAGAUCACCUCAUUAUCCUAUGCACCCUAGCAAGGGGACAAGCCUGCGCAUGCUCGGUAAGUUGUUUAUAUUCAGAUGGGGCUGGAUGUCGACGCCAUCUUUGUUUUACCACGCCGCUCCCUACAGGUUCCCAGCACCAGCAUGGUAGUUUACAGUCAUCUGUAACUACAGUUGAAGGGGAUCUGAUCCCCUCUUCUGACCUCCACAGACACCAACCACCCCUGUAAAAUGCACAUAGAUGCAUGUUGGCAAAACACUCACACACAUCAAAUCUUAAAGAGUUUUUAAAAAAAACACACACACAAUACAGAUAGGGAAAACAAUUUGCAAACUCUGUGUCUUACAGUCAGCCUUGAAUAUAUGAAUAAGUCUAAACUCAACAAAAAGACAACCCUAUGUAAAAAUGAGAGAUGAUGCCAGGCAAGUGGCUAAAGUCUAUAAUUCUAGCUAAUGGGCAAGUUGAAGCAGGAAGGUUAACAAGUUCAAGGCCUACGUCAGCAACUCAGUGAGACCCUGCCUCAAAUUUUCAAACAGAAAAUGAGGACUGAGGGUCCAGCUCUACUAGAACACUUGACUCAGAGACACAGAGAGGAAGGGAUGAGGGGAAGGAGUUGAAGAGAUAUUUCUUUAAUGAUAUACAAACAGCAGGAAGAACAUGGAAAUUUGACUGCACAGUCAUUAAGAAAAUGCAAAUCACAAUUUUACUAAGAUACCCCAUCAAACUUCUGAGGAUGUCUGAAAGAGAAAGUUUUAAGAAGGGGGGAUUGGUUACCCCAUAUACUGCUAUUGGAAAUGAAAAUGAUUUUACAAGGAGAGCACCUUUAUAAACAUAAGAAAUCUUUGAAAAUUCAGUUACCACGUGACACAGAAAUUCCACUCUUAGGUGUAUCUCAAGGAAUAAAAACGUAUGUCCACUUCAAAUUUGGUACAUGGGUUAUUUCUUAGACUGAGUCUUGGCUUUCGUGCCCAUGUUUCUUCUUAAAGGUUAGUGGUAUUCUCAUGGCUUCAUAAUCCCAGCAGAGGCAGAGGCAGUUGGAUUUCUGAGUACAAGGGCAGCCUAAUCUACAGAGUGAGUUCCAGGACAGCCAGAACUAAACCAAGAAACCCAGCCUUAAAACCAAAAAAAUAAAAGAAAAAAAGAAAAAGAAAAGUGAAUUGAUUUCAAAGAUAUCUAUCACAAGGGCCAGCAAUAUGACUAAGUGAGCAAAGGUGCUUGCCAUUAAGCGUGAUGACUUGAGUUCAACUCCUAGAACACACAUAUUUGAAGGAGAAAGUUUACUCAUGCAAGUUGUCCUCUGACUUAACCAUGCACAUAGUACAACACCACAAAACCUUUGUGUAAGUUGACAAGGGAGUGCUAAUUAUGCUGUGAUGAAGGUGGCUUGGAAGACAUUAUGCACACACACACACACACACACACACACACACGAGUCCACACACAUGCAGACAAAAUACAUGUAAUAUAUAUAUAUUAUAUAAUAUAUAGGCUUCUAAUAUAUAAAUAAAGUAUUAUCAAAAGAUAAUAAAUUAGGUGCAUGACUUCUGUAAUUCUAGUCCUCAGGAGGCUGAAGUCAAAGGAAUGAAGGUUGAAAGUUGAGGUCAGCCUGGACUACACAGCAAGAUCUUAGUUCAAGCAAAGACACCACAAGGGUCUGGUGUGGUUGAUGAGGGUAACACUGGUCAGAGCCCUGUGACCCCAUGUCUGUCAUCUGAGUUUUGUCACCAUACCUCUGGUUUCAGUCCCUUUCCAGGUCAUUCAGAUUCAUAACUGUUUUGCAUUCUUGCUGAUUGGUGGGCAACAUUUCUGCUCUGUUCUAGUCACAGCAUAACCUAAGCUCACACACUGUCUCUGUGUUUUCAGGCCAGUCUGGCAUACUCAGUCUCCCGGGGUGCUCACACGACUUAGAGAAUGUGGAAGAAAGCCUGCCUGGGUUCAGGUCCCUGCUCACUUCAUUUGUCACAGGAAGACCUUGAGCCGUGGAUGACCCACAUCCUUCAGGACUCACGGUUGCUCUUCCUGCCUUGCUGCACACCCUGCAGCUGUCCUUCCUUCCCCCAGCAUUAUGAUGGUCACAGGGGGAGACUGCCGCUGUCCUGGGUUGGGAAUGGAGAGCGUUUAGUAAGGGGACGGUUUGUCUCAGAGGCUAAGCAUCGGCUUGGAUGCUGCUGGGAUUGUUUGCUUUCCCUCCUCCUACUGAACAGCUCCAUGUAAACCAUGCAUAGCGCAGACACCGCAAACAAUAUCUCUCCUUCUGUGCAUGACUGUGUCCUCACUCACAAGUUCUGUUCAUCCAAAAUGGCGACGGUUAACCCUUUUCUCUCUCUCUCUCUCUCUCUCUCUCUCUCUCUCUCUCUCUCCUCUCUCUCUCUCUCUCUCUCUCUCUCUCUCUCUCUCUCUCUCUCUCUCUCUCUCUCUCUCUCUCUCUCUCUGUGUGUGUAAUCUGUCUUCCAUGCCAUCUUCAUUACAGCAUACUUAACAUCCCCUUAUCUCCUUACACAAGAUUUCACUGUAGAAAUAGGUGCCAAAGGAAAGAAAACUGGUACUUGAGUGUCUCCUAGUGGUGUAAGACUGCUUGUCACUUGUACCCAACUCCUAUCCAGACCUUCUUCAGUUCUGUACCAGAGUUGCAGGUCUCAGAACCUGCAUCAGGAAUGGCAGUUCUCAGCCUGCAGUCUGGUUCAUGUGGCUUUUCUUCUCUGUGUUGUGUGGUAAGUGAAGAAAUCCAUUCUUCUCCUGGGCAGUGGUAGUACACACCUUAAAUCCCAGUGCUUGAGAGCCCCUCGAAUACAGAGCAAAGUCCAGGACAGCCAGGGCUACACGGAGAAACGCCAUCUCAAGUGAACAAGCAAAGUAAGAAAGAAACAAACCCUGAGUCUUUGUUUUUACCAUUGUAUUGCUUAAGGUAAAAUGAAGGAAUGAAAGAGAAUUGGUGUUGCUGGGCAGUGGUAGGUCAUACCUUUUAUCUUGGCACUUAGAGGACAGGCUGGUCUACAUGGUGAGUUCCAGGGCGGCCAGACCUAACAGCAAGACCUUGCCUUGGGAAAGCAAGAGCAAACAAAGAUUCAGACUUCUGUAAGUCAUUUGUAGGAAAGUGGGUGGAGUUAGAAAUCAUGAAAUCAUGUCAAACAAAAUCAGGCCAACCCAGUGAGGCAAAUACAUGUUUAUACACACACACACCACACACACACACACACACACACACACACCACACAUACAUACACACACACACACACGCAUACACAGGUGCACAUACACACACACAUGCACACAUGCAGAUAUGUAAAGAAUUCCUUAAUUGAAAUACAAAAGAACAUGUCAGUGAGAUGACUUGGUACACACCCCUGCCUCCAAGCCUAUUGAUUCACAUGGUAGAAGAAGGAAACCGAUUCCCAUACCAAAAAGUUGCCCUUUGGCUCUCCCAUGCUUCCUCACAGUUUAGCCUCACAGGCACUCAGAGAAGGCUUGUCAUGGUCUGUGGGGACCCAGCUAUCUCUUGAGUUAGCAGUAGAACUUGCCAUUAUCUAUGUGUUUGCUGAAGGCACAAGUUCAGGGUCACAGGCUUAAGUCAUGGUUCGAGAAAAAUCCUGUGGGGCCACACAGUGUGAGGAAGGGUUGGAUACUCUGAUGCAUGAAGAAGGUCUAGGUUGCAGUAGAAGCCUCUGGACACUGAAACUGCUGGGGAUGUGAGACGUCUACCAGAGAAAGCUGCAGGUACCCAGGAGAGCCAGCUCAUGGGAGAGGCCAUAGCUGCAAAUGGCAGGACUGUGGGGGCUGGAAUCCCAAGCUCUUGCUCCUCAGAUAUCACUUAAGCCCUGGACAUCAGACGUGGUGCUGUAGAAUCUCCUGUUUACAUUCCAGAGGUGUGUUGGGAGCAAUGCCCUUGAAGCCCUCCAUUGUUGAUGUUAUUGUGGUUAGAAUUAAGUAUGACUGGGUUCAUGGAAAAUUCCCAGCCAGCUUUAGAAGAUUAAUACAAAUCUGGUGGUCAAGAAAAAUAAUAUAAAAUUCUCCUGCUGACUAAUAGAUAUGACAAACCUGUGACGUUUCUAACAUCCUGUCAAUAUCAGCCGAUUCCCUCACCACACGAAUACUGUGUCCUUGGCCUAAGUAAAUGUUUCUUACUUCCCCCCUCCCUCUGUUACCCGUGUUAUGGUAUAAAUUCAGCCUUGGGGAAAAAUAAAGUUGUCACCUUGAUCAGA